rnacentral:tRNA from 2 species
CGGGGCGUGGCGCAGUCUGGUAGCGCACCUGCUUUGGGAGCAGGGGGUCCUCAGUUCGAAUCUGAGCGCCCCGACCA